UUAUUCUAUUUGCAAUUGCAGUGUUUUCUACUUGCUUCUCUUGUGUCAUUUGUGUGGGCACUGGGAACAAUAUAGCAUGGUUGUCAAUAUUGGUAUCAAUAUCAGGCAUUCAAAAAACUUAGCAUUUGUGGAUGUUUCUCCAGAAGAACUAUUUCACAAUGAACGUUCCUUUAUGAAUGAGGUAUCAAAGGCAAGCCCAAUGGAGACUCAAUCAGCUAAGGAAAUACAAACGAAUGGAACUGUAAAACAGAAUGCAAGUUCUUCAACUGAACAACCUUAUUAUCGUAAGUGACAUUGGAUGAUUUUUUUUGAACUACAUUUUAGAAUGCAGUUUGAAGAAACGUUGUCUUUCUGCAAGCCAAGCU